rnacentral:snRNA from 1 species
UUACUUACCUGGAUGGGGUCAAUGGGUGAUCAUGAAGGUCCAUGGCCUAGGCAAGCGACCUCCAUUGCACUUAGGAGGGGGUGCUAGCCUAAGAUCUACCCAAGUGGUGGAGUCUACAUCAUAAUUUGUUGCAGUGGGGGCCUGCGUUCGCGCAGCCCCUCC